rnacentral:misc_RNA from 1 species
GAUGAAGAACGGAGCGAAAUGCGAUAAGUAAUGCGAAUUGCAGAAUUUCCGUGAGUCAUCGAAUCUUUGAACGCACAUUGCGCCCAUUGGUAUUCCGAUGGGCAUGCCUGUUCGAGCGUCAUUAUCUUCCCUCAAACCUCGCGUUUGGUGUUGGGCCGUGCUGGUUCCUGCGUGACCAACUGGCCUCAAAGACAAUGACGGCGUCCGUGGGACCCUCGAUGCAACGAGCUUCUCAGGAGCACGCGUCGAGUUUCAAGGACCUUCCGGGCCGGUCUCUCCUCAAGUUAUUACAAGGUUGACCUCGGAUCAGGUAGGGAUACCCGCUGAACUUAAGCAUAUCAAUAAGCGGAGGA